rnacentral:rRNA from 1 species
AUGUCAUCAGAACAGAUACCGUUUAAACCAAGUGAAUUUAUAAAAUGGUCCCCGAACGAUGACUUGAUCGAGGUAGGGCUCCAUUUCAUGAUUGAUAUUUAUAAUGUGGUUGUCGGUCCUCCUGUGCAGGUUGAUCCAGUUCCGGAGACAACGGAACUAGUUGAUCUAACGGAGACGACAAAUUGUACAAGACCGGCAGGGCGCUUUUGGGCUCUUAUUGAGAGCGAUGACGAAGAACAGGUCAAAGAACAGGUCGAGAAACAAGCCUCGACGGAUCUGCUUGUGGUUUCUAAGGGGACGGACCGAUGA